GACGAACGCUGGCGGCGCGCCUAACACAUGCCAGUCGAACGAGCGAGAGAGAGCUUGCUUUCUCAAGCGAGUGGCGAACGGGUGAGUAACGCGUGAGGAACCUGCCUCAAAGAGGGGGACAACAGUUGGAAACGACUGCUAAUACCGCAUAAGCCCACGACCCGGCAUCGGGUAGAGGGAAAAGGAGCAAUCCGCUUUGAGAUGGCCUCGCGUCCGAUUAGCUAGUUGGUGAGGUAACGGCCCACCAAGGCGACGAUCGGUAGCCGGACUGAGAGGUUGAACGGCCACAUUGGGACUGAGACACGGCCCAGACUCCUACGGGAGGCAGCAGUGGGGAAUAUCGCACAAUGGGGGAAACCCUGAUGCAGCGACGCCGCGUGGAGGAAGAAGGUCUUCGGAUUGUAAACUCCUGUUGUUGAGGAAGAUAAUGACGGUACUCAACAAGGAAGUGACGGCUAACUACGUG
rnacentral:rRNA from 1 species